GGAGCGGUAGUUCUGUCGGUUUGAAUACCUGCCUGUCCCGCAGGGGGUCGCGGGUUCGAGUCGCGUCCGUUCCGCCA
rnacentral:tRNA from 1 species